rnacentral:rRNA from 1 species
AAUAUCAUAUCAUAGAAAUUAAGGGAGCUGCUAUCCCUCUGAUUGUUUGCUUAUUGCUUUAUAAACAGCAAAGUAAACUGUGAGCCAUGCAGAAUAUUGGAGAUAACUUCCUAUAAGUUACAUAAGCUCUAAGAGAAAUCUAAUCUCUAAACGAAGUGAAUUGAAAUAUCUUAGUAACUUCAGGAAAAUAAAUCAAAAGAGAUUCUAUGAAUAACGUGAGUGAAAGUAGAGUAGCCUAUAAAGUAGAACGGUACAAAAACUGUUUAAAUAAAUGGGGAACCUUCCUCAAAGGCUAAAUAUGAUACAUGAGCGAUAGUGAAAAGUACCAUGAGGGAACUAAACGAAAAUAGUAGUUUUAUAAGCAGUUCGAUAAAAAGAACGUACCUUUUGCAUAAUGGGUCACCAAGUUAACGUUAGAUGCGAGCAUAUGCGUAGUUAAACCGGACGUUAAAAUAACGAAACAGUGUCUAAAGUUAGACCCGAAGCACGGUGAUUUUACCAUAGUCAGGAUUAUAAAAGUCCGAACGGGUGAUUGUAGCAUAAAUCUCCGAAGAACUGUGGUAGGUGUAGUGAAAGACAACACUGACUGUGAUAGCUGGUUUUCUGCGAAACCUAUAAUAGUAGGCAAUUUAAGUAAAUAUCUUAGCAGGUACAUAAUUUAAUCUCAGACAAGAUGUGUAAACGUUUUAUUUUGUACAAAUUGGGGGAUCAUGAAGAUUUUAUCAGUGAGUAUGUAGACUCGGAAUGGCAAAGAUAUAUCUUGAAUUAUCAGACAUAGAAUGAUAAGGUUGUAUGUCAAAAGGGAAACAGCCCAGAACAAGAGUUAAGGUUCCUAAAUUAUUAGUUAAGUGAAAUUAAGAAGGUUUUUAUUAAAGUCGACAAGGAGAUAGGCUUAGAAGCAGCCAUAAUUUUAUGACCUCGUAACAGAGCGCUUGUUAAGCUAUAGAAGCAUCGAAAAUUUAACGGAUCUAAACUAUAUACCGAAACCUUGUACAUUGUUAGUAGAUAGGGCGUUUGGGGUAGCAGAACGUUGAGUAAAUAAUGGAUUUUAUUUUUUUAAAUAGAAUUAUAAUAAUUUAACUCAAGUGAGAAUGGUGACAUGAGUAACUAAAAGAAAAUUUUCCGCCUUAAGCUUAUGGAUAUAAUUAAGUAACGGCCUCUAAGUUUAUAUUAUCUAAAGAUUUAAACGAUGAGAAAAUCUUUUUUACUAAGGACAACAUUUUAGUCUAAAAUGUGCUGGAAAAAUAGUAAAUAUAUUUGAUAUCUAAUAACAAAAUAUAUAUGUUAUCUAAGAACAAAUGAACAAAACCGUACCUAGAAUCUGAAAAAAGUAAGCUAGUAGAGAAUACGAAGGCGUAAAUGAGCUAACAAUCAUAAAGGAACUCGGCAAAUUGACUACCGUAACUUCGGAAUAAGGAGGGCUCAAUUCUUGAUUAAUAUCAAGUAAAAAGGAAGAAGCAUAAAAUGAUGUUGUACGACUGUUUAAUUAAAACACAGCACUUUGCUGAAAGAUAAAAAAUCUAAGUAUAAAGUGUGAAAUCUGCCCGGUGCCGGCUUUGGUUAACAGAGAUAAUUAAAUAUACUAUUAUUUGACGUCGACGGAAACCCCGGUUAAAGGCGGCCUUAACGUGAGGGUCCUAAGGUAGCGAAAUGCCUUGGCCGUUAAAUGCGGUCUUGCAUGAAUGGUGUAACGAUACAACAGCUGUCUCUAUGAUUGACUCAGUGAAAUUGGAAUAGCUGUGCAGAUACAGCUUACCUCUAGUUAGACGAGAAGACCCUAUGCAGCUUUACUGUCACUAAUUAUAGAGUAUGUUAGAGAAUUUUAAGAUUAUAAGGUAAUUGACAAUGUGACUAUGAGAAUCCUUUAUUUAUCUUUCAUAUGAAUGAAUUGGUUUAGGAUUAUAAAGAAGUUAUGAUUAAUCUGGCUUUACUGAGUCUUUUUUUUUUGUGCUUUCUAGCUAAGCUAGAAAAAUAUGCAAGAAAAAGAUUAAUUCUAAAAACAAUAUAAUUUAUAAUAGUAAAUCAACCUAAUUCAGUUUACUAUUUUUAAAAGUAGGUGACCUUUGGUAAGGAACUAUCGUUAGGAGACAGUUUAUGUGGGGCACAGACCCUGUAAAGAGUAAACAGGAGUGUCUAAUAAUUUAUAAUUAUUUUGUUUGCUAUUUUGAGUAGUUUAACUAUUUUUAAUCAUAUAUAAUUAUUUAUAUUUGCUGGGGGGCAUGCAUGUUUUAAAAGUAUGCAGCCCAUUAUCUACGUAAAUAUACUUAAGUUUAAUUUAGGUAGGAUUUUAACUAUGUAGAAAUUAGAGAUAAUUGAAAAUAUUAUGUAAAUUUUAAGACUGGGUGGCUGAUAAAAAGGUACAAAAUCUAUUUUUUUUAUUAGGCAUACUUCGUAACGAAGUAUGCCUACUGCUAUAUUUUUUUCUUGUUAAACAAGAAAAAAAUCAGAAGCACGCCCAGAGCUUAUAAAGUUUCCUAAUGUUUUACAGCUAUUAUUUUUUUUUGUCUUGCUAUUACUUCGCGCUUUUGUGUCUUUUUUCUUGUUAUAAACAAGAAAAAAAUAUGCACAAAAAAAAUAUAUUUUUUAUAAAAAAAUAUGCUAGUAACAAAAAUGCAGGUAGAAAAAAGGAAUAGUUAUGUUUUUAAUAUCUAAAAAGCUCAACGGCUAAAUCUUGCCUUACUGUUUGAUUAUCUACAAAUCUUACAGUUGCGUAAGCAGGGCAUAGGAUCACAAGAUGCAAUAAGGAUAGAUCUUGGAUUAUUGGAAAAGCUACGCUAGGGAUGAACAGGCUAAUUUGCGCAAGAGUGUACAAAAUGAGUGCGCGGUUUGGCACCUCGAUGUCGGCUUAACUUAUCCUCAUGGACGCAGGAACUAUGUAGGGUGCGACUGUUCGUCGAUUAAAAAGUUACAUGAGCUGGGUUAAAUACGUCGUGAGACAGUAUGGUUUCUAUCUUCUAGAGGGAAUUAGAAUAAAAUAAGAACAAACUUUUGUACGCAAGGAACAAGAAGAGUUUAACUCAAAAGGUUAAAAUAUGGUUACUAACCUAUGGUUUACCUGUUGUUUAUGUGCCUAAAUAUUAAAUAUAUAUGCAGCACGUAUAUAUAUAUCUUCUGUAUUAUUAUACAUAGGGAUGUUUCUUUUACUAAGACAAAUGUAUAGCAUAAGCACGGCAGGAACGCUAAGUUAGUUAAAGAUAAGUGCUGAAAGCAUAUAGGCACGAAACUUAUCUUAAGAUAUUUCUUAAAUAUACGUAAUAUACUAUUACGAAAUUUAUAGGCUUUAUCCGUACGAAUCAUGAGAUUUUAAAGAAUAAAGUACUAAUUUAAUAAUUCACUAUUUAUAAAUAUAUCU